GCAAGGGGCUCGCAGGGCCAAACCCCACCGGUGGUGCUGGGAGUGGGGCAGGUUGGGCUGGUCGGGCUCCUCAACCUCAGCCCCAUUUGGUGUGGGAGGAGGUUUGGACCCACAGCGCGGUGCCCCACUGGCUCCGUGGUGACCGAGAGGCCUUGGGAAGUCACCUUUUCCCUGCUGGGAGAUGCUCAGCCCGAGCCCGAGGUGCUGUUGAUGGGUGUUUGCUGCCUGGCAGGGCGGGUGACACAGGGCGUGGGGACCACGUUUCGCAAGCUGCGGGUGAAGGUAGAAGCUGGGGGUUCCGGGUUGUUCCUGAUCUGCACAGCACCGUGUCCUUUGCCCUCGUUUUGUCUCUGACUCAACAGCAAGUUGCAAGUCAAGCCUUGCUGGUGCCUGUGAGAGCUGGCUCCUACGCAGGCUGUGCCCGAGCCCUGGCAGCAUUUGGAAAGGUCUGUCCUGUCCCAGGGGACAGGGAGAGCUGUGUGUGGGAUCAGGAUGCAGUAACUGCAUUGCUAAAGAUCUGCAGGGAGCCCAGAGGUGUUUCCCAAGCUCAUGAGACAUCGAUGAGGCCCUCGGUGCCAUGAGUUAAUGGUGGCCUUGGCAGUGCUGGGGUGAGGUGGUGGUGAAGUGGUUCGAAGCCAUCCAGACGGGGCUGCCCAUGUGUGUCCUGGGAGCGGCGUUCGGCCCCAUCCACCUCAGCGCACGGAAGCUGCAGGUCCUGGCCACCGAGCUCAUUCCCUGGGCGAUCC